rnacentral:ncRNA from 1 species
UCUUUAAUAAUGGUUAUGACCAUCUCAGUGAAGAUCAACAGCUACUGUUGUGCUGAGACAUCUACCUAUAAAUAAUACUCACAUUCCUGCUUAUCUGAUUAUCUGGGAUACUUGAUAAUAGAUAGAGUGAGUUCUUCUGGUGACAGUUGAACUGAAAUGAUAAACAAUCAGAAAAGGAUGGUAGAUGGUGCAUAGCAUAUAUUUUUAUAGACCACAUUUCUGGCCGUUCACAAAAUAGACGCUCCAGUGGAGAAUAAUCCAAGUUAGGAUGUUGGGAUGCAGGUGGUGCUGCUGUCAGACCUUGGAAAUACCAACAAGUGAAUUUGCAGUGAUGCUUUGGUGACAGAGCUAUAAGACCAGUUUAUGUAAGAGUAGCCAAAUUGCUGCAGCAAUAGUGAGUAGAAGAACAAAGAUGCAUGAUCUUUGCUAUAUGAAUUCUGAAUGUAUGGUGAAAUUGAAAGUAUCAAUCUUUCCAGUGCUUUGUGGGAAACCUUGGGUAAGAAGUUUAGAAGUAGCUAGCUAAGCUCAGACUUAUCUACAUUGUCGGUUAAUAAUAAACUUAUAUGUGUCGUGUAGAAUGAAUAAAAGUUCGGAUCAUAAUUAUUAUUAAG